rnacentral:rRNA from 1 species
AGAGUUUGAUCCUGGCUCAGGAUGAACGCUGGCGGCGUGCUUAACACAUGCAAGUCGAACGAAGCACUUUAUUUGAUUUCCUUCGGGACUGAUUAUUUUGUGACUGAGUGGCGGACGGGUGAGUAACGCGUGGGUAACCUGCCUUGUACAGGGGGAUAACAGUUGGAAACGGCUGCUAAUACCGCAUAAGCGCACGGCAUCGCAUGAUGCAGUGUGAAAAACUCCGGUGGUAUAAGAUGGACCCGCGUUGGAUUAGCUAGUUGGUGGGGUAACGGCCCACCAAGGCGACGAUCCAUAGCCGACCUGAGAGGGUGACCGGCCACAUUGGGACUGAGACACGGCCCAAACUCCUACGGGAGGCAGCAGUGGGGAAUAUUGCACAAUGGGCGAAAGCCUGAUGCAGCGACGCCGCGUGAGCGAAGAAGUAUUUCGGUAUGUAAAGCUCUAUCAGCAGGGAAGAUAAUGACGGUACCUGACUAAGAAGCACCGGCUAAAUACGUGCCAGCAGCCGCGGUAAUACGUAUGGUGCAAGCGUUAUCCGGAUUUACUGGGUGUAAAGGGAGCGCAGGCGGUGCGGCAAGUCUGAUGUGAAAGCCCGGGGCUCAACCCCGGUACUGCAUUGGAAACUGUCGUACUAGAGUGUCGGAGGGGUAAGCGGAAUUCCUAGUGUAGCGGUGAAAUGCGUAGAUAUUAGGAGGAACACCAGUGGCGAAGGCGGCUUACUGGACGAUAACUGACGCUGAGGCUCGAAAGCGUGGGGAGCAAACAGAAUUAGAUACCCUGGUAGUCCACGCCGUAAACGAUGAAUACUAGGUGUUGGGAAGCUUGCUUCCUCGGGCCGCCGCAACCCAGUAAG